CGCGGGGUGGAGCAGCUCGGUAGCUCGGCGGGCUCAUAAUCCGCAGGUCGCAGGUUCAAAUCCUGUCCCCGCUA
rnacentral:tRNA from 1 species